UGCAAGUCGAGCGGUAGCAGAUCUAGCUUGCUAGAUGCUGACGAGCGGCGGACGGGUGAGUAACGCGUAGGAACCUGCCCAGUAGUGGGGGAUAGCCCGGGGAAACUCGGAUUAAUACCGCAUACGCUCUACGGAGGAAAGAGGGGGCUUCGGCUCUCGCUAUUGGAUGGGCCUGCGUGAGAUUAGCUAGUUGGUGAGGUAAUGGCUCACCAAGGCGACGAUCUCUAGCUGGUCUGAGAGGAUGAUCAGCCACACUGGGACUGAGACACGGCCCAGACUCCUACGGGAGGCAGCAGUGGGGAAUAUUGCACAAUGGGCGCAAGCCUGAUGCAGCCAUGCCGCGUGUGUGAAGAAGGCUUUCGGGUUGUAAAGCACUUUCAGUGGGGAGGAAGGCCUCGUAGUUAAUAGCUGCGAGGAUUGACGUUACCCACAGAAGAAGCACCGGCUAACUCCGUG
rnacentral:rRNA from 1 species